rnacentral:misc_RNA from 1 species
AAAAGAGCAAACUUAAAUCUACAACAACAAUUCAGCAUGUAUGUGUGUCUCAUGCACACGCACUAGAGAGUCUAAACAAAACACACCUUUUCAAACCUGAUAACCAACAAGGUUUAAAUACAAGAGUAGAGUAAACUUUCCCAGCAACACUAGAGAUAUCUACAGAAAGCAGUAUUAGACACAACCUGACAACUAAUAAGGUACAGAUACAAGAGAUUAGUUUCUCCCCAUCACCAACAUGUUCAGCAUCAUCAGUAUAAUCCCAAAAAUGAAACUUGAUCAGAAAUUAGCAAAUCUCAGUGUCAAACUUGAGA